GAUGAACGCUAGCGGCAGGCCUAAUACAUGCAAGUCGAACGGCCCCGACACUUCGGUGUCGGGGUAGUGGCGCACGGGUGCGUAACGCGUACACAACAUACCCUUUACAGGGGGAUAGCGGCGGGAAACUGCCAGUAAUACCCCAUGUCCUUGCGAGGUGGCAUCAUUUUGCAAAGAAAGUUCAAGCGGUAAAGGAUUGGUGUGCGUCCGAUUAGCUAGUUGGCGGGGUAACGGCCCACCAAGGCGACAAUCGGUAGGGGGUGUGAGAGCAUGGCCCCCCACACGGGUACGUGAGACACGGACCCGGACCUCCUACGGGAGGCAGCAGUAAGGAAUAUUGGACGAAUAGGACGG
rnacentral:rRNA from 1 species